UACGUAGGUGGCAAGCGUUAUCCGGAUUUAUUGGGUGUAAAGGGCGUGUAGGCGGGAAUGCAAGUCAGAUGUGAAAACUCAGGGCUCAACCCUGAGCCUGCAUUUGAAACUGUAUUUCUUGAGUGCUGGAGAGGCAAUCAGAAUUCCGUGUGUAGCGGUGAAAUGCGUAGAUAUACGGAGGAACACCAGUGGCGAAGGCGGAUUGCUGGACAGUAACUGACGCUGAGGCGCGAAAGCGUGGGGAGCAAACAGG
rnacentral:rRNA from 1 species